rnacentral:rRNA from 1 species
AUACGUAGGGAGCGAGCGUUGUCCGGAAUUAUUGGGCGUAAAGGGUGCGUAGGCGGUCCUUUAAGUCAGAUGUGAAAGACCACAGCUUAACUGUGGGAUUGCAUUUGAAACUGGGGGACUUGAGUAUCGGAGAGGGUAGUGGAAUUCCCGGUGUACCGGUGAAAUGCGUAGAUAUCGGGAGGAACACCAGUGGCGAAGGCGACUACCUGGACGAAAACUGACGCUGAGGCACGAAAGCUAGGGUAGCAAACAGGAUUAGAUACCCUGGUAGUCCUAGCUGUAAACGAUGGGUACGAGGUGUAGGGGUUUCGAUACCUCUGUGCCGCAGUUAACGCAAUAAGUACCCCGCCUGGGGAGUACGUACGCAAGUAUGAA